GGAGGCCAGUCAAAACUUCGGGAAUCCCAAACUCCUUUCCCUUGUCCCUCCCUGUCUGACUGACUGACUGACUGACUGACUGUCUCUGAAAUACAAGGUAUGCUUAGCAGUCACUUUUGUUGAACGAGAUGGCAUAAGAGUUAGCGUGUUAUUUUUUUUCUUUGUGCGGUUAUUACACUUGUUUGUCAGAAAUUUACAAGGCACCAACCACAAUCAUACAGGG
rnacentral:lncRNA from 1 species